GAUGAAGAACGCAGUGAAAUGCGAUAAUUAAUGUGAAUUACAGAAUUCAGUGAAUCAUCGAGUCUUUGAACGCACAUUGCGCCCCCUGGUAUUCCGGGGGGCAUGCCUGUCCGAGCAUCAUUGCUGCCCUCAAGCACGGCUUGUGUGUUGGGCUUCCGUCCCUGGCAACGGGGACGGGCCCAAAAGGCAGUGGCGGCACCAUGUCUGGUCCUCGAGCGUAUGGGGCUUUGUCACCCGCUCCCGUAGGUCCAGCUGGCAGCUAGCCUCGCAACCAAUCUUUUUAACCAGGUUGACCUCGGAUCAGGUAGGGAUACCCGCUGAACUUAAGCAUAUCAAUAAGCGGAGGA
rnacentral:misc_RNA from 1 species